CCUGAUAUCAGGCAAGA
rnacentral:rRNA from 1 species